AUUGAACGCUGGCGGCAUGCCUUACACAUGCAAGUCGAACGGCAGCACGGGAGCAAUCCUGGUGGCGAGUGGCGAACGGGUGAGUAAUAUAUCGGAACGUGCCCAGUAGUGGGGGAUAACUGCUCGAAAGAGCAGCUAAUACCGCAUACGACCUGAGGGUGAAAGGGGGGGCUCGCAAGACCUCUCGCUAUUGGAGCGGCGGAUAUCAGAUUAGCUAGUUGGUGGGGUAAAGGCCUACCAAGGCAACGAUCUGUAGUUGGUCUGAGAGGACGACCAGCCACACUGGGACUGAGGCACGGCCCAGACUCCUACGGGAGGCAGCAGUGGGGAAUUUUGGACAAUGGGCGCAAGCCUGAUCCAGCAAUGCCGCGUGCAGGAAGAAGGCCUUCGGGUUGUAAACUGCUUUUGUCAGGGAAGAAAUCCUCUAGGUUAAUACCCUUGGGGGGAUGACGGUACCUGAAGAAUAAGCACCGGCUAACUACGUGCCAGCCGCCGCCGUAAGAC
rnacentral:rRNA from 1 species